GACAAUACUUUAUAAAUCACUAAAUAAAACUACUUUAUUAUUACUUAUUACAAAAACAUUCUCAUAAUUAAGUGAUUAUUUUUUAAUUCCUAGUGAGCACUAUUUUACUAGUUACUAGUUUUAAACAACUGGCCAAUUUAUCGGUUAUCGGUUAUCGGUUUGUUUUUUCUGCUAACACAACUGAACAACAGUGUGAUUUACAGACAUUUCUGGUUUGACUUCUUCCAUCAUCAGCUGGGAGUGAAACUUACUCUUUAACUAAACAAGUUUACGUGUUUUUUCGCAACACUAAACAAUAGGGAUGUAACAAUAUCAAAAUCUCACGAUACGAUAAUAUCACGAUAUGACGUCCAUGAUACAAUAUUUAUUGUGCUAUUUAAAAAAAAAACCGAUAUGAAGAAUUGGAAAAAAUUCUUACUACUAACCGUGUGAUCCGAACUCUUCUGAGCCGAGAAUAUGUGUGCGUCCGGCAGCGUGUCGAAUGGCGACAGUGUCUCGACGUCCACGCGCUCCAACAUCUCGGUCAGAGCGGUCAGCAGCGACACCUCGCUCUCCACGCUCUCCGUCAGCCUCUUCUCCUGAAACAUGGAUAAAAUGGACGGAUCCAGACUUCCGUGAAGAGCAUCUGAGAUCCUUCCGACAUCCAGCACAAAGACGGGAACAUCACGUUUCACAAAUUCGACCUGUGGAUAAAACGAGUCACACAACCCAGAAAGCCUCAGUCAACACACAGGACCCCUGACCUUUAACCUGACACCCCAUCAGCCAUUGGCAGCAGAACACCAGCGCUAAAAGCUGCUCCAUCAUGUGUGGAGGUGCAAUCAUCUGAUCCCAGAUCAGAGAGAGAGAGAGAGAGAGAGAGAGAGAGAGAGGGAGAGACAGAGAGAGAGAGAGACAGAGAGAGAGGGAGAGAGAGAGAGAGAGAGAGAGAGAGAGAGAGAGAGAGAGAGAGAGAGGGAGAGAGAGAGGGGGAGAGAGAGAGGGAGAGAGGGAGAGAGAGAGAGAGAGGGAGAGAGAGAGAGAGAGAGAGAGAGAGAGAGAGAGAGAGAGAGAGAGAGAGAGAGAGAGGGAGAGAGGGAGAGAGAGAGAGAGAGGGAGAGAGAGAGAGAGAGAGAGAGAGAGAGAGAGAGACAGAGAGAGAGAGAGAGAGAGAGAGAGGGAGAGAACACACGUGUUAAAGGAAACAGUCUCAUACUCACUGUUAGAGAUUAACGUGUGCGCAGAGAAACCUGACAGAGACACAGGAGAGACAACCAGCUUCAGAAGAGGUACAGGAUCUCUCUCACACACACACACACACACACACACACACACACACACAUUUCUAUAAUGUAAGGUCAGAAUAAGGUCAGUAAUAUCUCCAGAUGAACUCUUCCUGGACUGAAGCAGCUCAGCUUUACUUGAUUCUCCAUCAGUCAUGUUUUAGAGUCUCAGAUCUGAUCUUCAGGAUCUUCUGAGGAGCGUUUGUUUCUCUGUUCCUCAGCGGAGGAAUGAUCUUACUAGAGACACACCUGAAAUACAAUGCAGU
rnacentral:lncRNA from 1 species